rnacentral:rRNA from 1 species
UACGUAGGGUGCGAGCGUUAAUCGGAUUACUGGGCGUAAAGCGUGCGUAGGCGGUUCGUUAAGUUCGUUGUGAAAGCCCCGGGCUCAACCUGGGAAUGGCAAUGGAAACUGGCGGGCUGGAGUAUGGCAGAGGGGGUGGAAUUCCGCGUGUAGCAGUGAAAUGCGUAGAGAUGCGGAGGAACACCGAUGGCGAAGGCAGCCCCCUGGGCCAAUACUGACGCUCGAGGCACGAAAGCGUGGGGAGCAAACAGG